rnacentral:rRNA from 1 species
AGCGGCGGACGGGUGAGUAAUGCCUGGGAAAUUGCCCUGAUGUGGGGGAUAACCAUUGGAAACGAUGGCUAAUACCGCAUAAUAGCUUCGGCUCAAAGAGGGGGACCUUCGGGCCUCUCGCGUCAGGAUAUGCCCAGGUGGGAUUAGCUAGUUGGUGAGGUAAGGGCUCACCAAGGCGACGAUCCCUAGCUGGUCUGAGAGGAUGAUCAGCCACACUGGAACUGAGACACGGUCCAGACUCCUACGGGAGGCAGCAGUGGGGAAUAUUGCACAAUGGGCGCAAGCCUGAUGCAGCCAUGCCGCGUGUAUGAAGAAGGCCUUCGGGUUGUAAAGUACUUUCAGCAGUGAGGAAGGCGGGUACGUUAAUAGCGUGCUCGUCUGACGUUAGCUGCAGAAGAAGCACCGGCUAACUCCGUGCCAGCAGCCGCGGUAAUACGGAGGGUGCGAGCGUUAAUCGGAAUUACUGGGCGUAAAGCGCAUGCAGGUGGUUUGUUAAGUCAGAUGUGAAAGCCCGGGGCUCAACCUCGGAAUUGCAUUUGAAACUGGCAGACUAGAGUACUGUAGAGGGGGGUAGAAUUUCAGGUGUAGCGGUGGAAUGCGUAGAGAUCUGAAGGAAUACCGGUGGCGAAGGCGGCCCCCUGGACAGAUACUGA